rnacentral:rRNA from 1 species
UUGGAGGGCAAGUCUGGUGCCAGCAGCCGCGGUAAUUCCAGCUCCAAUAGCGUAUAUUAAAGUUGUUGCAGUUAAAAAGCUCGUAGUUGAAUUUCGGGAUCAGCAGGUUGGUCGUGCCUCUGGUAUGCACUGGUUUCGCUGAUUCCUCCUUUCUGAAGAACUGUAAUGUCAUUAAUUUGGUGUUGCAGGGAAACAGGACUGUUACUUUGAAAAAAUUAGAGUGUUUAAAGCAGGCUAACGCCUGAAUACAUUAGCAUGGAAUAAUGAAAUAGGACGUUUGAUCCUAUUUUGUUGGUUUCUAGGAUUGACGUAAUGAUUAAUAGGGAUAGUUGGGGGCAUUAGUAUUCAAUUGUCAGAGGUGAAAUUCUUGGAUUUAUUGAAGACUAACUACUGCGAAAGCAUUUGCCAAGGAUGUUUUCAUUAAUCAAGAACGAAAGUUAGGGGAUCGAAGACGAUCAGAUACCGUCGUAGUCUUAACCAUAAACUAUGCCGACUAGGGAUCGGAUGAUGUUAAUCUUUUAAUGACUCAUUCGGCGCCUUACGGGAAAC